AACGCACAUUGCGCCCCCUGGCAUUCCGGGGGGCAUGCCUGUCCGAGCGUCAUUUCUGCCCUCAAGCACGGCUUGUGUGUUGGGUGUGGUCCCCCCCGGGGACCUGCCCGAAAGGCAGCGGCGACGUCCGUCUGGUCCUCGAGCGUAUGGGGCUCUGUCACUCGCUCGGGAAGGACCUGCGGGGGUUGGUCACCACCACAUUUUACCACGGUUGACCUCGGAUCAGGUAGGAGUUACCCGCUGAACUUAA
rnacentral:misc_RNA from 1 species